CCUUCGGGGCUGGGUGAAAUUCCCAACCGGCGGUGAUGAGGUGAUGCCUCUUAGUCCGUGACCCGGUUUCAGUAAUGAAAACGGUGGAUUUGGUGAAAUUCCAAAGCCGACAGUGAAAGUCUGGAUGGGAGAAGGA
rnacentral:ncRNA from 1 species